GUCCCUUCGGGGACAUUCGAUAAAAUUGGAACGAUACGUAGGAAGAUUAGCAUGACCCAUGCGUAAGGAUGACAUACACAAAUCGAAAAAUGGUCCAAAUUUUU